rnacentral:rRNA from 1 species
AUUGAACGCUGGCGGCAUGCCUUACACAUGCAAGUCGAACGGUAACAGGUCUUCGGAUGCUGACGAGUGGCGAACGGGUGAGUAAUACAUCGGAACGUGCCUAGUAGUGGGGGAUAACUACUCGAAAGAGUGGCUAAUACCGCAUGAGAUCUACGGAUGAAAGCAGGGGAUCGCAAGACCUCGUGCUACUAGAGCGGCCGAUGGCAGAUUAGGUAGUUGGUGGGAUAAAAGCUUACCAAGCCGACGAUCUGUAGCUGGUCUGAGAGGACGAUCAGCCACACUGGGACUGAGACACGGCCCAGACUCCUACGGGAGGCAGCAGUGGGGAAUUUUGGACAAUGGGCGCAAGCCUGAUCCAGCAAUGCCACGUGCAGGAUGAAGGCCUUCGGGUUGUAAACUGCUUUUGUACGGAACGAAAAGCCCUGGGUUAAUACCCUGGGGUCAUGACGGUACCGUAAGAAUAAGCACCGGCUAACUACGUGCCAGCCGCCGCAGUAACAC